rnacentral:rRNA from 1 species
UACAGAGGGUGCGAGCGUUAAUCGGAAUUACUGGGCGUAAAGCGUGCGUAGGUGGAUAGUUAAGUCAUAUGUGAAAGCCCCGGGCUCAACCUGGGAAUUGCAUCUGAUACUGGCUAUCUAGAGUAUGGUAGAGGAUGGCGGAAUUUCCGGUGUAGCGGUGAAAUGCGUAGAUAUCGGAAGGAACACCAGUGGCGAAGGCGGCCGUCUGGGCCAAUACUGACACUGAGGCACGAAAGCGUGGGGAGCAAACAGG